rnacentral:rRNA from 1 species
UACGUAGGUGGCAAGCGUUAUCCGGAAUUAUUGGGCGUAAAGAGUGAGCAGGCGGUUUCUUAAGUUUGGAGUGAAAAGCAGUUGCUUAACAACUGUUGGCCCCAAAGACUGGGAGACUAGAGUGCAGGAGAGGUUAGCGGAAUUCCAUGUGUAGCGGUGAAAUGCGUAGAUAUAUGGAGGAACACCAGUGGCGAAGGCGGCUAACUGGCCUGUAACUGACGCUCAGUCACGAAAGCGUGGGGAGCAAAUAGGAUUAGAUACCCUAGUAGUCCACGCUGUAAACGAUGAGUACUAAGUGUUGGGGGAACCCAGUGCUGAAGUUAACACAUUAAGUACUCCGCCUGAGGAGUACGCUCGCAAGAGUGAA